ACCUGGCUGGCUCAGUUGGAAGAGCAUGUGACUCCUGAUCUUGGGGUUGUAAGUUCGAGCCCCAUGUUGGGUG
rnacentral:tRNA from 1 species